AACCUCCGCAAUGUGAGAAAUCGCGACGGGGGGAUCCCAAGUGCCAUUCUUAACGGGAUGGCUUUUCAUUAGUGUAAAGAGCUUUUGGAAUAAGAGCUGGGCAAGACCGGUGUCAGCCGCCGCGGUAACACCGGCAGCUCUAGUGGUAACAAUUUUUAUUGGGCCUAAAGCGUCCGUAGCCGGUUUAAUAAGUCUCUGGUGAAAUCCUGUAGCUUAACUGUGGGAAUUGCUGGAGAUACUAUUAGACUUGAGACCGGGAGAGGUUAGAGGUACUCCCAGGGUAGAGGUGAAAUUCUGUAAUCCUGGGAGGACCGCCUGUUGCGAAGGCGUCUAACUGGAACGGUUCUGACGGUGAGGGACGAAAGUUAGGGGCGCGAACCGGAUUAGAUACCCGGGUAGUCCUAACUGUAAACGAUGCGGACUUGGUGUUGGGGUGGCUUUGAGCUACUCCAGUGCCGAAGGGAAGCUGUUAAGUCCGCCGCCUGGGAGUACGGUCGCAAGACUGAAACUUAAAGGAAUU
rnacentral:rRNA from 1 species